rnacentral:rRNA from 1 species
GAUGAACGCUGGCGGCGUGCCUAAUACAUGCAAGUCGAACGAAACUUCUUUAUCACCGAGUGCUUGCACUCACCGAUAAAGAGUUGAGUGGCGAACGGGUGAGUAACACGUGGGCAACCUGCCCAAAAGAGGGGGAUAACACUUGGAAACAGGUGCUAAUACCGCAUAACCAUAGUUACCGCAUGGUAACUAUGUAAAAGGUGGCUAUACUACCGCUUUUGGAUGGGCCCGCGGCGCAUUAGCUAGUUGGUCGGGUAAAGGCUUACCAAGGCAAUGAUGCGUAGCCGAAUUGAGAGGUUGAUCGGCCACAUUGGGACUGAGACACGGCCCAAACUCCUACGGGAGGCAGCAGUAGGGAAUCUUCCACAAUGGGCGAAAGCCUGAUGGAGCAACGCCGCGUGGGUGAAGAAGGUCUUCGGAUCGUAGAACCCUGUUGUUAGAGAAGAAAGUGCGUGAGAGUAACUGUUCACGUUUCGACGGUAUCUAACCAGAAAGCCACGGCUAACUACGUG